rnacentral:rRNA from 1 species
UACGAAGGAUGCAAGCGUUGCUCGGAAUUAUUGGGCGUAAAGCGCACGUAGGCGGCUUGGCAAGUCGGAUGUGAAAUCCCUCGGCUCAACCAAGGAAGUGCAUCCGAAACUGCUGAGCUUGAGUACUUAAGAGGAUCGCGGAAUUCCCGGUGUAGAGGUGAAAUUCGUAGAUAUCGGGAGGAACACCAGCGGCGAAGGCGGCGAUCUGGGAAGAUACUGACGCUGAGGUGCGAAAGCGUGGGGAGCAAACAGG